AUAUGUGAUCGUCUCUCGCAUAUCAAUAAGCGGAGGAAAAGAAACUAACAAGGAUUCCCCUAGUAACGGCGAGUGAAGCGGGAAGAGCUCAAAUUUGAAAUCUUAAAGGGUUUCCCUUUACGAAUUGUAGUUUAAAGAAGUGUUUUCUGUUGAGGUUUUGGUAAUAAAAGUUCUUUGGAAUAGGACAUCAUAGAGGGUGAGAAUCCCGUAUUUGACCUUUACUUUCAACCUUUGUGAUACACUUUCAAAGAGUCGGAUUGUUUGGGAAUGCAGUCCAAAAUGGGUGGUAAAUUUCAUCUAAAGCUAAAUAUUGGCGAGAGACCGAUAGCGAACAAGUACCGUGAGGGAAAGAUGAAAAGAACUUUGAAAAGAGAGUUAAACAGUACGUGAAAUUGUCAAAAGGGAAGCGUUUGACACCAGUGUUGUUUUUCUGAAAAUCAAUUAAAGAACUGUUUAUGCUAAGCUGUUUAGACUUUAUCAGCUAUCUGUUUAGUUUUGAGCUUUUCUUUAAUGCACUUUUCAGUUAACAAGUCAACAUCAAUUUCUUUUGCUGUAAAAAAGCUUGAGGAAGGUGGCUUGAGAUUCGUCUUAAGUGUUUAUAGCCUCUUGCCUAUGCAGUCGGAGAGAUUGAGGUCUGCAGCGUAGAUCCUUCGGGGCUAAAUGCAUUUGUGCUAAGUUAUAGCAUUUUAUAGACAACUUGUUGACUAUGAUUUGUCUUGUAGCUUACUCGCUUAUGUUAUUUUACCUACGCUUAGGAUGUUGAGUAGCGACAUACGCAC
rnacentral:rRNA from 1 species